rnacentral:lncRNA from 1 species
CUCCUGAAUGGCACACAAGCGCGACACAUCUCCUCUUCAAGAUUCAGCAUCGGUGCCCACCCCUGCAGUUUUCCACUUCCAAACAUCGUGACCAGAGUAUGCAAGAGUUGUUUAGGCCUUGUUUAGUUGGCAUUUUUUUUUUAAAAUUUAUCACCGUAGCAUUUUUGUUUGUAUUUUGGUAAUUAUUGUCUAAUAAUCAUAAACUAACUAGGCUUCGUCUCGCAAAUUACAGGCAAACUGUGUAAUUAAUUACAUUUUUAUCUAUAUUUAAUGCUUCAUGUAUACGUUUAAAGAUUCAAUGUGAUGGAAAAUCUUGAAACAAAUUUAGAACUAUUUAGGUACACUCAAAAACACAAAAAUACUACACUGUCAAAAUGCAAAAAGAUUUUGCAUCCCCUAAGUUUUUUUAUGCAAUAUGUAGUGGUGGAGCGCUCGCUAGGGCUGACACCCUACUACCUUAAGUUUGUUCUGCUAUUUUUUUUUAUCUUGGCUGUAUAUAUCAUGUGUUUUCUCUCAAUGUCUACACAAUUAAUCAAGGCAUGGAGCUCCGACAAUUCUACUACAUGUAGUCACACUUUGUUCUUUAUCUGUCCUCCACCACCGCUCGUAGG